ensembl:lncRNA
UGUCUAUUGUUACACUGUCUACUGCCACGCACCAACCGCCAAGACAAAUUCCUUGUAUGUUUGACAUAUUUUGGCAAGAAAUGUUUCCUGAUUACUGAUCCUGAUUCCUGACCCAGAUUAGACGUUUUAGCAUUUCCAGAGGAAUUUCUGUUAGAACGCUACCGCUUUACUGGUAACUAGGAAAUAUUUGGACGACAUUUAAUUCCUACAGUUCCACAUACAGAUUUAACAUGGUAUUGACCGAAAAUCUUACUGUCGAAGCUGUGCAGUGGGUUGGUGAUGCCCAACCAUGUUCUGUUCAAGGACAAGAAUGUGCUAGUUGUCCAUUAUCUAUGCUCAUCACUUCAGUCUACAUGUCUGCAUGGAGUGUCUGCAGGGUUUACAACUGUGGAGAUGUGGACACCAUCCACAACUGUUGGGUGGGUGGGUGGAUAUAUAUAUAUAUAUAUAUAUAUAUAUAUAUAUAUAUAUAUAUACAUACACACACACACACACACACACACACACUACCGUUCAAAAGUUUGGGGUCACUUAUAAAUGUCCUUAUUUUUCAAAGAAUAGCACCUUUUCUUCAAUGAAGAUAACAUUAAAUUAAUCAGAAAUACACUCUUUACAUUGAUAAUGUGGUAAAUGACUAUUCUAGGUGGAAACAUCGUUUUUAAUGAAAUAUCUACAUCGGUGUAUAGAGGCCCAUUUCCAGCAACUAUCACUCCAGUCUUCUAAUGGCACAUUGUGUUUGCUAAUUGUCUCCAUUUCCAAAGAUUACCUCAACAAAUGAACAGCUAGAAUGCCAAAGGUCUGCAAUGCUGUAAUUGCUGCAAACGGAGCAUUCUUUGACGAAACCAAAGUUUGAAUAACAAAAUGAAUAUUUUAAAUAAGAAAUAAUUUCUAAUCUUGUCAAUGUCUUGACUAUAUUUUCUCUUUACUUUUCUAACUCAUUUGAUAAAUAAAAGUGUGAGUUUUAAUGGCAAACACAAAAUUAUCCGGGUGACCCCAAACUUUUGAACGUUAGUGUAUAUAUUAGUUUUAUUUUUUUAAAAGAAGUGUAUACUUGCAUCUGAUGUAGGCACCCCCCCUCCUGGGGGGGUGACGGGCUCGAAUGAGCUUCCCCCAGGGUUUCCUUCAGCCACCGGUCGACUACUGUUUUGGCUGAGGACCAGCUCCUUCGCCUCUGUCAGAGGUGGCCCUGACCUGUUUUUCGGGCCUCUGCCUUCUUUCUGUUGGCUGAGCAGAACUCAAUGUUUCUUUGUUUUUUAAUUAGUAUUUUAAUGAGUGUUGGUGUAGCGUCAUAUUUUAAAUGACUUCGAUAGGUAUAAAAUAAAAAUGUGCCUGUAAGUGUUGCUCUUUUAUUUUCUGUUGUCGUGGUGACUCGUGGUAUCGGGGCUCCAUUGAUGAUGGCUUUUUAUAAUCGUCAUGCACACGCUUAACUCAAGGUGAACAUACUCAGAGUUGAUUGAACUAAUGCAGAUCAGCUGUUCUGGAAUCAGGGUUUACCAUCUCAGAGUAAGUGAACUCGGAGUUCAGGGAUAGACUCAAGCCGUUUCUCAAUAUGCGUUCUUGUGUGGACUUUUGUUCUCGUGGACUCGUGAAACGUCAUCAGUCACAGCCCGAGUACUGUUCCAAUUCUCAAGUCCGCAUCUGGCCGAGAACGGUCAUAAUACCCGGAUGUGACUCGCCCCGCCCAUUUUACCGGGCAUGCAUCGAAGCAGGCUCGUCUGUUCUUGUGAGAGACAUAUAUCCCAGAAUGCAUUUCACCUCAGCAAGCUGCGAUGGCAGAUGAGAUACUUGCGUGCGUAAACAAAGACCGCCUACUGUGGUGACGUCAUCAAGUCAGCUGCUGUUCCAAUUGCGGAAAUGUCCGUUCUCCGUUCUCCCGUACCCGUGAGUCAGGACUCCCGAGUCUGUCUCCCGAGUCUAUUCUCGCGGGAACGCGAGUCCGUUCUCGCCGUCUUAGGUAUUGAGAAACGGCCCCAGAGUUUGUUGAACCUCCUUUCUGGAAUACCCCCCUGCCGUGGCGUUUCGAACAACUCUUUUUACCUGCUGAGCUUGAUUAGGCACCUGUUGUCCUCCUCUUGGGGUUGUGCACAAGUGAUGGUGAAGUUUCCUUUUUCUUAAAACCCUAAGUAUUCAUCUUUGACUUGACAAUGGCUGUGUAAUAUUAGGGCAACGCUCUGGCUAGAGUUUAGGUUUUAUAAACACAUUGGGGAUUUGGACGCUUUUGAACAGCGCUGGUGUUUUAAUAAUAUUGUUUGUUCUGUGGUCAAUGACGAGCUGGUAUUUGCACAAGUUUUUAUCAGUUGGUCUGGAACAUGAGCCGCACUGGGUUGGAAAACAUUACAUGUCACGUCAGUUCCACUUGAUGUUUUAUUCAUUUUCGUUUCUGAGGGGAAACCAUGUGACACAAUGCCCUAUCUUUACAACUUGUUUGCAAUAUGAUUUAAUUCAUACUACUAAUCUACUACUGUAAAAUGUGGUAAAUAAAAUUAAGGGCUACUUGAAACCAAUCUAAACUACAAUCUUUUAGAAAAAUUGAUUUUGUUAUUGCUGUUUUUUUUAAUUAAUUAGAUAAAGUGGAAAAGGGAAGUUAAACAUACUUAUUUUAAAAAGAAAAAGAAAUCAAUGACCUUAUAUAUUGUAAAGCAAUUGAUUCAAAGCACAGAAGGUAAAACCCAUCUGGGGUUAUAAAAUUAUAAAACCUAUGUGAUUGAGACUGCAUAGUGCUGUGUUGGCUCCCUCUGUUGAUGAAUAAGUGUACACUUUGGUACACAUUUUUCUCUUAAUUACCAGGGAUAUAGCCACAGGGCAUGACAAAAAGAUAUGUAUGUAACCUUUGACAACAGAAGUUUCAAAACAUUACAGAAGAGACUAUUUUAAUUAUUCAAUAUUUUGUGUUAUGAUCAUUGUGAAGGUUCAGACAAAGAUUGUGAAAACAAUAAAUCUCAAAGAGUUUAGCUAUAAAUUAUACAUAUAUACACCUUUUGACCACUAACACCAUUUGAAAAUAUAUCGUCAAUAUUUCUUUCAAUUCCAUUAAAUUUAAUCGAAACAUUCACUUAAAUCUAACCUUGAGGGUGACCAAAGAAUAAAAGAAAGUAUUGUCACAUAUAUGGUUUUAAAAGUGUGUUUAGGUUUAACCCUAAAAUAACAGAAGGGGUUUCUUUGCCAGUUUGUGUUUAUUUUAAGCUGAAUUGAUUACAGUGUGUCUCUUAGGCUAUGUGGUGGUGUUUGAAUAUAUAGAAUAAUCUGAGAGGCAAAGUAAUUCAUAUCAUGAUAAUUCAAAUCUAUGUAUUUGUUUAUAGUUGGGAUUGCUAAUAAACAUUGUUUCUUUUACAUCUCAGGGCUAAAUGGUAUUCUAUCUGGAUUAUUAAAAUUGGCUACAUAUUGUUUUUGGUCCAUAAUCCUGUACAUUCCCAGCCGCAAACGUGUUCAGAUCAAAAGACACUAUUCCUAUCUAUCUAUUCCACUGUCAUUAUGGUGUGUGGUCAAUGGAAAAUUACAUUCGAUAGUGUGUUUAUCCAAAGAUGUACAAGGUUUCUUGGACAAGAAUCAAGAAGUAAUUUGUCAUGCCAGUGAUGGCAAUCAUACAAUCAGGGCUUUUCUAACAGUAGUCAGUGAUGAUGCUAUUGCUGGUUUGACAGUAUCCAUGACAACAAUACAAGGAAGGAUGCAGUGAUGAGACUGAUCUUGUGUCUUACUCCACUUGAGACCUCUGUAAUAAAUGAGAAAAGAAAACAAGAUAUUACUUUAACAAAUAGAAAACAUAAAAUGUAAAAAAGAUUUGUGACAUUAUUUAAUAUGUCUUACGUGAGCCAUUCACAACAAUUGAGUUGAGGUCAACAUUGAAGGCUGUGAUGGUUGAAGCUGCUUUAACCAAAACAUUUCAAAUCUGAGUGCCAUUAGGAACAGAAGUUGACAAAAAUCCAAGAUCCAUGUUAUUUAUAAUUGAUCCAUUUCUGCAAAUGAAAUAACAAAAUAUAAUGUUGUUUAGUUUGUAUACAUUCACGAUCAGUGCUCUUAAGACCUUGUCAUAAUAAAAUUAACAAAUUACCUGAAUGAAGUCACUGUUAAGGAGCGGAACGUAGGAAAUGCUCUCUGGUUGAACAGCUUGAGCUGCGGAAAUACAAGCAAAUUGUGAUUUAAUUUGGUUGUUUUUUCUUAAGCUGUGCAUUUUCCUUUUUUUUUUUUUCAAACCAUGAAAGCAAGUUAUAGCACUAUAACCAUUCUUUCAACAAAUACCGGAUUGUUUAUCUGUCCUAUUCUCAAUGCAUGAAAACAUGAUUUAUUGUAAAUAGUUUCAGUAUCUUGAAUAAAAUGUACCUUUUUUCCUCUAAUUUGACAAAAACAACGUAUCAUCCGUUACGUACUGUUGACGUGAUCAAUGAGGCUCUUCUUUGAAGCAGAUGGAUUCAGCAAGUCUGAAGUAAAUGUCUCUCCAGCAGAUCUGAAAGUCAAUCGCCUUGUUGUGACCGCCUGAGAUGUUACGGGUGCAGCUGUUGUGGGUGCUGCAGUAUUCAAAGUUGAGGGUGCAGUUGUAUAAUAUGAUGUAACGUUUCUUUCUG